CGAAGACUGGAUCCCACUUAUUUGUGGUAUAUCAGUAUCAUGCGUCAUUUUCAUGGCACUUAUCAUUUUCUGCGUCAAAUCAUGGUUACAUUCAGCAUUUCCUGUUCAAAUUUGUUGCUGUGGCUUGAAUAGCAGGGUGGAAGAGGAGUCUUCAGUGGUUUAUUCAUCAGUUAUCAUCAGGACACCCGGCAAAAGAAUUAAUCACAUGACCUCUAGUGAUUGUGUUUAUUGUGAAAUAAAAGUAUAG